rnacentral:rRNA from 1 species
UACGUAGGGUGCGAGCGUUGUCCGGAAUUAUUGGGCGUAAAGGGCUCGUAGGCGGUUUGUCGCGUCGGGAGUGAAAACACUGGGCUUAACUCAGUGCUUGCUUUCGAUACGGGCAGACUAGAGGCAUGCAGGGGAGAACGGAAUUCCUGGUGUAGCGGUGAAAUGCGCAGAUAUCAGGAGGAACACCGGUGGCGAAGGCGGUUCUCUGGGCAUGUCCUGACGCUGAGGAGCGAAAGUGUGGGGAGCGAACAGGAUUAGAAACCUAGUAGUCC